rnacentral:rRNA from 1 species
GACGAACGCUGGCGGCGUGCUUAACACAUGCAAGUCGAACGAAGAGCGAUGGAAGCUUGCUUCUCUCAAUCUUAGUGGCGACCGGGUGAGUAACGCGUAAUCAACCUGCCCUUCAGAGGGGGACAACAGUUGGAAACGACUGCUAAUACCGCAUACGAUCUAAUCUCGGCAUCGAGGAUAGAUGAAAGGUGGCCUCUACAUGUAAGCUAUCACUGAAGGAGGGGAUUGCGUCUGAUUAGCUAGUUGGAGGGGUAACGGCCCACCAAGGCGAUGAUCAGUAGCCGGUCUGAGAGGAUGAACGGCCACAUUGGGACUGAGACACGGCCCAGACUCAUACGGGAGGCAGCAGUGGGGAAUCUUCCGCAAUGGACGAAAGUCUGACGGAGCAACGCCGCGUGAGUGAUGACGGCCUUCGGGUUGUAAAGCUCUGUUAAUCGGGACGAAAGGCCUUCUUGCGAAUAGUGAGAAGGAUUGACGGUACCGGAAUAGAAAGCCACGGCUAACUACGUG